rnacentral:lncRNA from 1 species
GCCUAAUUUGCCGCACUCUUUUGAAAGAUAGGUAACCAUCGUCUGUAAAGGAUCAAUAUAGUUGGGGUGCAGAUACAGGCCUUCCCCUAGGGAAACACUUGCAUCAGUAUUAGUGAGAGACCAAGUACACAUUCUGAAGCAUUCCUGUGCUUUCUGUCCACUUGUCAGGUGAUGUUUGCCACGUAUGACUGUCCAUCAGCCAGGAGAUGAACCCCCACCCGUGAGGCAGUGACUCAAGGUGCAAGGGAGUCCGGCAAGAAGUGUGGCGCACCCGAGUUGCUGCCACUGCUUUUUGGAUCACCCAGCACGGUGAAGUUGCCACGUAUGACUGUCCAUCAGCCAGGAGAUGAACCCCCACCCGUGAGGCAGUGACUCAAGGUGCAAGGGAGUCCGGCAAGAAGUGUGGCGCACCCGAGUUGCUGCCACUGCUUUUUGGAUCACCCAGCACGGUCUUCUGAAGUCUUCCUGAAAGCAUCCCUGGUGAUCUGUGAGCCCUUGGUCGUGUUGCCCGCCUUCUUCCUGUGGGUCUUGCUGGAUGCUCAUUGUCCCUGUGAGCCGAGCCCUGGAGGCUUCAGAUUUAGGU